rnacentral:lncRNA from 1 species
ACACUGUGUGCUUCUACACACCCAGGCUGAACACCCCAUGGGAGGCCCUCCACUUUAGCACCUUGACAAGAAGGGUGGGGACACUGGGAUCAGGCCCAGCCCCCUGGCCCCAAACCGUGCAACCCCAGCUGGAGGAUGAGGAGAUGCUGGGCUUGGGUGGGGGAAUCAGGGGUGUAAAGGGGCCUGCUCACCCCUCAGCUUGGCUUAAAGGCUCAAGAGGUCAAAGGCUUAGGCUGCCCCUCAGGAAGGCGCCCGGGCCCAGCCAGACACUCACCAGGACAAGGGCCAGUGUGACGAGCAGGAGGCCCAGGAUGAGGAGAGCCACGGCAUAGCAAGGGAUGGAGGCGUCCAGCGGACUGGAGACUUCAGGGCUGGGGGUGCCUGGAGCAGAGCAAGAAGGCCAUGGCCAGGCGGGGCCCUGCCUCCCAGACUUCUGAGAAGGCAGAAUCUGGGCUCAGAAGAACCCAGGUCUGAGCCCUGGGUCACCCAGGGCCACCCUGAACCCACGGGAAUUCCUCCACCACCACUUGGUCAAAGUUCUGCAGAGGUCUGAGGAUGAAGUUCAGCUGGGGGGUCAGGAGAGGAUGAAGAGGGUCACAGCUCUACCAAAGUCUUGUCCAGUCAUCCCCCAUCUUCCCGAGGCCUCUUCCUCGACCCCCCACUUCAUCCCGCCACUUCACCCAUCUCGUCAGCUGCCCUUGAAGUGCCCAGAACUCAGGGCUGGUUUUGUCCUCCAAAGCCUUGGUGUAGGGCUGGACCAGGAUCUGCAGCCAAACUUCAUACAGCACCAGCUCUGCCUUCUCCCCUAGAGUGAUGGGGGUGGAGGUGGCAUCAGCCUGCAUCCCCUCUCCUGGAAGCCCUGGAGUGGGACACACACCCAAGCUCUUAUGCUCCAUCCAGGGGUCAGCUGCCACUGGUCUAAAAACCAAAUUUCUUGCUGCCUGUUUUUGUGUGGCCCAUGAAUUAAGAAUGGCUUUUACAUGUUUAAAUGGUUGAAAACAUGGAAA